CCAGGCACCUUGCUUGGUCCAGCAGAGUGACAACUGAGGCUGAUCUAGUGAGCUCUCUGGGGUACUCUAAGGUUGUCUUCCUGAGUUGCCAUGGGUCAGGAGCUCUUGACCAUAGCCCAGAUGGGAGUGAGGUAGGGAAGCAGGAGUGCAUGGCAAUGAAGGAGGAGUCACCAUCUUCAUGAGGCUGUGGCACCACAGGUCAGCAGAAGAGCAUCCUGGUUGGCUCCUGCUCACAGCAAAGUAGUGGCCUGGCAGUCCUCACCCACGUGGCUGAUGAGGAGCUUCCUGACUUCUGAGGGCCCACUGACCUCUGGCCAGCUCUGGGCUGCUCCCCUGGUCCCUGGCAGAUUGAGCUUGUUCUGGGCUUUCCAGAAUGUGCUUCCCAUCAAGCCUUCCUGUAGUUCACCCAAGCGUUUGAAGUGGGGAGCAAGGUAAGUUGAUACCCGCUGUAGCUCAGGGCCUAGUUGAGCCUAGCAGCCCAGCCCUGAUUACACAGGCCUGCUAUGUGACCGGCCACAUGGCUGACAUGCAGGGGGACCGGAGAAGCUUAUGAUUCCCAGGAGGGGAGAGUGCAGGUCCAGGGCCCUGUUCCUGAUGGACGAUUGUUAUUACAAUGUGUGUGCAGUUGAAUGACAUCAUGCUAUGGAGUGCAUGAAUUUUUUUUGUCAGUCUUUUAACACAAGUUUAUGUUUUUCAGACCUUAAAGCUGCAGGUCAUUUUUUACAUUUGCUAUUGAGAGCAGAUGUGACUGAUCCCUAUCGGGUUCUACUGAAAAACGGUGGGGUUGCAGAAGGUCAAAUGCAGAAUGCCUUUCAAUCUCCAUUAUUACUUCCUCCACUCAGUAGUCUCAGCAGGAAGCCCGUGCUUGGAAAUGGUGGCCUUCUGAAGACUCUCAAGCCUCUGAGCCCAGCCCCUGGCCACUGGUGAUCCCCACACCAUGAGCUACCUUGAGGCUCGGCAGUUGGCCAAGGGCAGAGAGCCUCAGAGGAGAGAGAGGAUACUUAGCACUCUCUGGGGCUCAGCUUCCCCAUUUAAACAAAGGGAGUGUGCGUUGGGAUUGCCAAGUACUGUGAGAUGCUCUUGAUACUGCUGUUCUUUAGUUUUGUAACUCUUGGGUUUGGAGAGGCUCAGACUGGGGACUGUGUCUGACUUUGCUAUGUGUCAUUCCAGCAAUUUGGGGAAGUUCAAGGAGAUGUUUCUACUAGAGGCAAAUAUCUACCACUUCUCAGACAGCUGGCAAGAAGGAGAGAUAGAUCUGGUGUUCUCUUGAAGAGGAUCAUGAGGUGUCUUCUAUGUUCACAUAUCAUCUGGGUCAUAGGGCAAUUUUUGAGGGCAGUUAUAUUUUCAUAGGCCGCCUUCACAGAAAAAUUUCCAACCCAGACUUGGGAAAAGGUAUUAAGUCAAAAUCAAAUUCUUAUAUUCACAGAAGUAUUGGUGGCAAGGGUUGAUUAGGGGUGGGCCCAGUUAAAGACUCCUGUUUGGUGUCCACGAUGUGGGGAAGCACUGACUUGUGAGAAACUGAGUCCAGGAUCCUGAUGCAAAGGAGAUGGGAGAGGUCCAAGGUCUCCGAAGAUGAUCACAAGGGACUGCAUCACCUAGACAGAAACACCACAUUUGCUUCUGAGAGCGCAGUCAGACCUAUUCCAGCAUGAUGUGACAGAGGUAGCACUAGCUGUUUCCCUCCUUGAGCUGCUGCCAUGGCAAAGGAAUGGAGAGUCCUCACCGAUGGCCAGUGCACUCACAUGUCACUGUUCCCGUCACCGUCCUUCUGAGGGACACCAAUGGAGAAUUUCCGAGUCCCUGGCACCGCACUAAGGCCUGCCAUGGAGUCUCUCCUUUAAUCUCCAUGAGAAAUUCAUGAGGUAGGUGAUAUUUCCCCUGUGUCAAAAGUAUGCAAGCUGAGGCGGAGAGGCUGAGUGAUUCGCCUGAGACAGACCACCUGUCAGGAGGAGUCAGAUCUGAACCUGAUCUGCCUAUGGGAUUUGCACUCCUACCCGCCACAUAUCCUGUCCCUCACUUUGCUAAGUAAGGCGCCCUGCAAAUGGCAGGUAUUUUACUGUUACUGCUGUUGCUGUAAUGAUUUCAGUAUCGAUGCUGACAGUCUGCUGCUGCCUGCUGCGACAACCACUGUGAUAGUGUUAGCCGCCAGAACUGCAGCUGCCACAGCUACAGCCAUAGCUAUGGCAUCUGUAAGUCCAAGGAUGACAACUCUGACAGCAGCCAUAACAACUACAAUGACACUGCCACCACCACUAGCUAGUUCCUCCUUCCCCCUGGCCGGGCUGUGCCUCCCUGAGGGCAAGGAUCAGGGAGUUAAUCACUCUUUCUUGUUCUAUCUUCCAAGGCAGCAUGCUUCCACUCCUGGGCUCUGGAGCCCUGAUGCUUCAGUUCACACCCUAGCUCUGUCACUUCCUGGCUGUGCAACACUGGGCAGGUGGCUUAAUCUUUCUGUGCCUUGGUGUCUCUCUUGAAAAAGGUGCUAAUGAUGGCACACCUUGCUCUACAGGACAGCCGGGAGGACUGAGUGAGCUGUUACACGGGAGCAAUCACUCAAAGUGUUCCCAGAUGCGCAGGGGGCUGUUGGUUACCUGUGAACACAACAUCCCUUUAUAAUGAGGACGCUCAUGCGAACAGAGACUCAGAGAAGUCUAGCGGCCUCCCCGCCCCCUCAGGCCUGCCGUACGUUUGAUGGAGUGAAUGAUUGAGGGGAAACAUAUGCAUUCCAGAUUGGACCCGAAAUGCUGGGCUUGGAGAGGCGGCCUGCUUCCAGCAGCAGCCAAGGGGAGGUGGGGAGCUCUGCAAGUAUUUGUUGUUCCCGUGGGGCUAAUUAUGGACUUUUAGAGGCAAGUAGCCGCCCCAAUUUCGGUUAGCACAGUUGUUCGUUACUGCAUAAUUAAGAGAAGGGGGAGCAGUCUUGGUGGGGAGCAAGGAAAAGGGAAGGCCAAAUGCAAAUAGCUUGGUUACUUUUGUCUGAGGGAGACUGGGCAGCAGUCAAGGUCAAAUGCUCAGCGGCUGGACACAGAGGGCCCAGGCAUUGAGGCGGGAGUGGGGUGGCAGGCCGGGAGGUGGCUCCCGCUCCACAGGCAUAGAGAUGGAGGAAACAGCCCUGCCUUAGGCAAGUGUGACUGGUUUUAAAGGAUUACUGCCCCACUUGCCCUAAGGUGGGUUCACUUUUAAAGAAUGAGCUUUGCCCCCUGGUUCAGGCUGCAGACAGGAAUCUUCCAUCUGCAGGGGAGGGGAUGGGCCUCCUGAGGCCUCUGAUGAUGUGAUGAUGUUGAAAGGAAAUUUAUGGGACAUGGACAGAGCCCCGCCACACGGGAAGCGAGGCGGGGUUUGCACAGCCCUGAGCAGGAACCCAUCAGGGCACCGGGGUGCCAAGGGCUCAGAGCCCUGCCAAAGCUGGUUGUGAGGGACGAGACAGGAGGCCAGGCACCCGGCCUCACACUGAAGACUGUGGUUACAGCAGCUCUUUCCUUCCAGGAGCUAAUGUGUCCUAAGCCUUUUGUGCUGCCUGCCUGAGUGAAGACAGCGUCAGGCCCCUGAACUGUGGGGUGAGGAGUUGAGAGCCUGACAGACCCUUAGUGGAGGGAACUCUGGGGGAAAGGUGAGCAGGUGGAGGAGGAGAUGAGAAGCCAAAUGUGCAGGGCAAGGGAAAUAUCUGCCCUUGUGAACAGCUCCUCUCCCCGUGGGGCCCAGAAGGUUCCAGAAAUCUUUGGUUUAAGAAAGCUUGAAAAUAUAACAUGAAGCCCUGGGCUGGAAGUCAGGGGCCCUGGGUCUUAAUGCAGUCUUGCCAUUAACUGGCUAUGGGACCUUGAAGCUUCUGAUGUUCCUUGAUAGCCUCAUAUGUAGAACAAGGAAGGGAAUGAAUGUUCUCAGGGCCUCUUUGAAGCCACUGGCUCUUGGCCUACAUCACUGUGGUAGAGAAAAUAGAGUUAUUAUAUGUUUCCGCUUUGAUCAUGAGGCCACCUCUCCCUCAGCUUCCCAGGUGGGAGGUAAGCUUGAAAGAAAAGACACAGGAAGAGGCUGGGGACAUGAAGCUGAAUGGUCAGGGUGGGGACCAUGUAGGCUCCUGAGGCUUGUGUUCCUGGUUUUUAAGAAUAGGACUCUAGGGGGAGGAAGGAGAGAGCCCUUCAAAAACAAAUACAUUUGAGGGAUGCCUGGGUAGCUCGGUGGUUGAGCUGAGCAUCUGCCUUUGGCUCAGGUUGUAAUCCCCGGAGUCCUGGG